rfam:Branchiostoma floridae genomic scaffold BRAFLscaffold_111, whole genome shotgun sequence.
GUUUGCCUGUGUGUGGAUGGUGUUCAGCACCAGGGACAGGUGUGUUUGCCUGUGUGUGGAUGGUGUUAAGCACCAGGGACAGGUAUGUUUACCU